ensembl:snRNA U6 U6 spliceosomal RNA
GUGCUCGCUUCAGCAGUACAUAUAUAAAAUUGGAACGAUACAGAGAAGAUGAGCAUGGCCUCUGCGUAAGGAUGACAAGCAAAUUCGUGAAGUUUUCCAUAUUUUU